rnacentral:rRNA from 1 species
CACUGGGACUGAGACACGGCCCAGUUUUCGGAUCGUAAAGCUCUGUUGUUAGGGAAGAACAAGUACCGUUCGAAUAGGGCGGUACCUUGACGGUACCUAACCAGAGCCACGGCUAACUACGUGCCAGCAGCCGCGGUAAUACGUAGGUGGCAAGCGUUGUCCGGAAUUAUUGGGCGUAAAGGGCUCGCAGGCGGUUUCUUAAGUCUGAUGUGAAAGCCCCCGGCUCAACCGGGGAGGGUCAUUGGAAACUGGGGAACUUGAGUGCAGAAGAGGAGAGUGGAAUUCCACGUGUAGCGGUGAAAUGCGUAGAGAUGUGGAGGAACACCAGUGGCGAAGGCGACUCUCUGGUCUGUAACUGACGCUGAGGAGCGAAAGCGUGGGGAGCGAACAGGAUUAGAUACCCUGGACUACCUGGGUAUCUA